rnacentral:rRNA from 1 species
UACGGGGGGUGCAAGCGUUGUCCGGAAUCAUUGGGCGUAAAGAGUUCGUAGGCGGCACGUAAAGUCUGGUGUUAAAGGCAGAGGCUCAACUUCUGUACGGCACUGGAUACUUGCGAGCUAGAAUGCGGUAGAGGUAAAGGGAAUUCCUAGUGUAGCGGUGAAAUGCGUAGAUAUUAGGAAGAACACCAGUGGCGAAGGCGGCUUUCUGGACUGAAACUGACGCUGAGGCACGAAAGCGUGGGGAGCGAACAGG